CUACGGGAGGCACCAGUGGGGAAUAUUGCACAAUGGAGGAAACUCUGAUGCAGCAACGCCGCGUGGAGGAUGACACUUUUCGGAGCGUAAACUCCUUUUAUAUAGGAAGAUAAUGACGGUACUAUAUGAAUAAGCACCGGCUAACUCCGUGCCAGCAGCCGCGGUAAUACGGAGGGUGCAAGCGUUACUCGGAAUCACUGGGCGUAAAGAGCGUGUAGGCGGAUAGAUAAGUCAGGAGUGAAAUCCUAUGGCUCAACCAUAGAACUGCUCUUGAAACUGUCUAUCUAGAAUAUGGGAGAGGUAGAUGGAAUUUCUGGUGUAGGGGUAAGAUCCGUAGAGAUCAGAAGGAAUACCGAUUGCGAAGGCGAUCUACUGGAACAUUAUUGACGCUGAGACGCGAAAGCGUGGGGAGCAAACAGGAUUAGAUACCCGAGUAGUC
rnacentral:rRNA from 1 species